AUGCAUCUAUUUGACAGACCUGGUGCAGUUAGUCUGCUGCCAAGGUUUCCACUACAGAUGCAAAAAGAAAAUGUCCUUGCACUUUCUAUGUGUCUGAUUGGGCAGCCAAGAUUGGAUGGGAGAAUACAAAG